GACGAACGCUGGCGGCGUGCUUAACACAUGCAAGUCGAACGGAAAGGCCCUGCUUUUGUGGGGUGCCCGAGUGGCGAACGGGUGAGUAACACGUGUGUAACCUGCCCUUGACUUUGGGAUAACUUCUGGAAACUGGGGCUAAUACCGGAUAGGAGCUCCUGCUGCAUGGUGGGGGUCGGAAAGUUUCGGCGGUUGGGGAUGGAUUCGCGGCUUAUCAGCUUGGUGGUGGGGUAGUGUCUUACCAAGGCAUUGACGGGUAGCGGGGCUGGGAGGGGAACCGGCCAAAUCAGGACGGGGAUGCGACCCAGACUACACCGGGAGGGAACGGAGGGGAAUGUUACACAAUAGGCGGAGGGCUAGUGUAGCAACGCCGCGUGGGGGGAGACAGGCAGCGGGUUGGAAUGCACUUUCGCCUGUGGCGAAGCGAGAGUGACGGUAAUGGAUGAAGAAGCACCGGCUAACUACGUG
rnacentral:rRNA from 1 species